rnacentral:ncRNA from 1 species
AUUCGGGCGAUGACUGAGAGAGUAGAUGGUCAUGAAGGAUAUAAGAGAGAAGAUACCAUAGGCUGAGAGUAUCUUUAUCAGUUCAGGCCAUUGAAGUUCCCUCAGGAGCUGCAUUCUGAACACCGGUGGAAAAAUGGCGUUGCAGGCGGAGCCGGUAAGUAGGAAGUGCCGGGUUGCAGCCGUUAUCUGCAAAAGAGUGCUUGCAUGUCUUGAGGAUAUGCAAGAAUUUGGGUGGUACCGCGAAGCAAACCUUCGUCCCUUUG